GAUGAACGCUGGCGGCGUGCCUAAUACAUGCAAGUCGAGCGAACAGACGAGGAGCUUGCUCCUCUUACGUUAGCGGCGGACGGGUGAGUAACACGUGGAUAACCUACCUAUAAGACUGGGAUAACUUCGGGAAACCGGAGCUAAUACCGGAUAAUAUAUUGAACCGCAUGGUUCAAUAGUGAAAGACGGUUUUGCUGUCACUUAUAGAUGUAUCCGCGCCGCAUUAGCUAGUUGGUAAGGUAACGGCUUACCAAGGCGACGAUGCGUAGCCGACCUGAGAGGGUGAUCGGCCACACUGGAACUGAGACACGGUCCAGACUCCUACGGGAGGCAGCAGUAGGGAAUCUUCCGCAAUGGGCGAAAGCCUGACGGAGCAACGCCGCGUGAGUGAUGAAGGUCUUCGGAUCGUAAAACUCUGUUAUUAGGGAAGAACAAAUGUGUAAGUAACUAUGCACGUCUUGACGGUACCUAAUCAGAAAGCCACGGCUAACUACGUG
rnacentral:rRNA from 1 species